GGCAGCAGUGGGGAAUCUUCGGCAAUGGGCGAAAGCCUGACCGAGCAACGCCGCGUGAAUGAUGAAGGCCUUCGGGUUGUAAAAUUCUGUUAUAAGGGAAGAACGACUUUAGUAGGAAAUGGCUAGAGUGCGACGGUACCUUAUGAGAAAGCCACGGCUAACUACGUGCCAGCAGCCGCGGUAAUACGUAGGUGGCGAGCGUUAUCCGGAAUUAUUGGGCGUAAAGAGCGCGCAGGUGGUUGAUUAAGUCUGAUGUGAAAGCCCACGGCUUAACCGUGGAGGGUCAUUGGAAACUGGUCGACUUGAGUGCAGAAGAGGGAAGUGGAAUUCCAUGUGUAGCGGUGAAAUGCGUAGAGAUAUGGAGGAACACCAGUGGCGAAGGCGGCUUCCUGGUCUGUAACUGACACUGAGGCGCGAAAGCGUGGGGAGCAAACAGGAUUAGAUACCCUGGUAGUCCACGCCGUAAACGAUGAGUACUAGGUGU
rnacentral:rRNA from 1 species